rnacentral:rRNA from 1 species
AGUUUGAUCAUGGCUCAGAAUGAAACCUGGCGGUGUGCCUAACACAUGCAAGUCAAACGACAAUUUAUUUGGAGUGGCGGACGGGUGAGUAACACGUAAGAACCUACCUUUAGGAGGGGGAUACCAUCCCGGGAAACUGGUGCUAAUACCCCAUAUGCUGAGAAGUGAAAUGGUAUUUAACCGCCUAGAGAGGGGCUUGCGGCUGAUUAGCUAGUUGGUGGGGUAAUGGCCUCCCAAGGCGACGAUCAGUAGCUGGUUUGAGAGGAUGAUCAGCCACACUGGGACUGAGACACGGCCCAGACUCCUACGGGAGGCAGCAGUGAGGAAUUUUCCGCAAUGGGCGAAAGCCUGACGGAGCAAUACCGCGUGGAGGAAAAAGAAGACCUGUGGGUUGUAAACUCCUUUUCUCAGAGAAGAAUACUGACGGUAUCUGAGGAAUAAGCACCGGCUAACUAUGUGCCAGCAGCCGCGGUAAUACAUGGGGUGCGAGGUUUAUUCGGAAUGAUUGGGCGUAAAGCGUUCGUAGGUGGUUUCACGAAGUCCACUGUCAAAGAUCAGGGCUUAACCUUGGGCAGGCAGUGGAAACUCGGAAACUCGAGUCAGGUGGGGGCUGAAGGAAUCAACA